GAUGAACGCUGGCGGCGUGCUUAACACAUGCAAGUCGAACGAUGAAGCCCAGCUUGCUGGGUGGAUUAGUGGCGAACGGGUGAGUAACACGUGAGUAACCUGCCCUUGUCUCUGGGAUAAGCCUGGGAAACUGGGUCUAAUACUGGAUAUUACUUCUCAUCGCAUGGUGGGGGGUGGAGAGAUUUAUUGGUCUUGGAUGGACUCGCGGCCUAUGAGCUUGUUGGUGAGGUAAUGGCUUACCAAGGCGACGACGGGUAGCCGGCCUGAGAGGGUGACCGGCCACACGGGGACUGAGAAACGGACCAGUCUCCAACGAGGGGCAACAGUGGGGAAUAGUACACAGGAAGCGGACGCGUGAUGCAGCGGCGCCGCGUGGGGGAUGGCGGCCUUCGGUUUGUAAACCUCUUACAGUAGAGAAGAAGCGAGAUUGACGGUACCAGCAGAAGAAGCACCGGCUAAGUACGUG
rnacentral:rRNA from 1 species